GCGCCCGUGGCUCAACUGGAUAGAGCAUCUGACUUCGGAUCAGAGGGUUGGGGGUUCGAAUCCCUCCGGGCGUGCUA
rnacentral:tRNA from 1 species